rnacentral:rRNA from 1 species
UACAGAGGUCCCAAGCGUUGUUCGGAUUCACUGGGCGUAAAGGGUGCGUAGGUGGUGAGGUAAGUCGGAUGUGAAAUCUCCGAGCUCAACUCGGAAAUGGCAUUGGAAACUACCUUGCUCGAGGGUUGGAGGGGGGACUGGAAUGCUUGGUGUAGCAGUGAAAUGCGUAGAUAUCAAGCGGAACACCAGUGACGAAGGCGAGUCCCUGGACAACUCCUGACACUGAGGCACGAAAGCUAGGGGAGCAAACAGG